UCCACUCUCUGAGGUAUAGCUGGCAAAAACUUCUCAGCUCUUUGAUUCACUGAUUUUUAAUAUAUUUUUAAAGUCACAGUUUCAUUCAUUUCUACUCUGAUCUUUGUAAUUCCCUCCUUAAACUAAAAAUAAACUUGUUCUGAUUUUCUAAUGUGAGGUUUGACUGCAAUAAUCUUCCCUCUUUGGAUGGUUUUUACCAUAUCCCAUAUGUUCUGGCAUGCUGUAGUGGCAUUGCUGUUUGAUCCUGGAGUUGUCUGAUUUCUCCUUUCACCCAUUGACUGUUCAGGAGUGUGGAGUUAAGUUUCCGGGGGUUUAUAAACUUUCUAUGGUUUCUUUUGUGAUUGAUUUCUAGUUUCAAGGCACAAUGAUCUACUAGUAUACAUGAGGUGGUUCUGGUUCUUUUAUAUUUAUUUAAGCAGCUUUUGUGGACUAGUACAUGUUCUAUUUUGGAGAAAGUUCUAUGUGCUCUUGAGAAGAAUUGUAUUCUGCUGUAGUACAGUAGAAUACUCUGUAGGUGUCUAUUAAGUCCAUUUGUUCAGAAGUGUAGUUCAGCUCUGAUGUUUCUUUGUUGUUGUUUUUUUCCAUUAAGUUUAUUGGUAUGUUUUAGGUAUACAUGACAGUUACAUUCAUUGUUGGAAUCUGACACCUUUACAUGAUGUAUCUUUGUUGGUUUUUUGUUUAGUUGAUCUGCAUCUUUGUGAAAGUGAGGUAUUGAGUUCACCUGCUGUAAUUGUGUUGGUGUUCAUUUGGUCUUUUAUGUUCAGCAGGGUUUGUUUUAUAAAGCCAGGUGCUCCAAAAUUUGGUGCAUAUAUAGUUACAGUUGUAAUCUCUUCAAAUUGGACUGUUCCCUUAAGUAAUGUCUGGUGACCUUCGUUGUCUCUUCUGAUCAGUUCUAGUUUGAAGUUUACUUUGUCUGAGAAUAAAAUUGCUACCACUGCUUGCUUUUGGGGCCCUGGUCCAUGGAAUAUUAUUUUCCAUUCUUGUAUAUUUAGUCUAUAAUUUCCUAGUUUGGGGAGACACUUACCAUCCCUCCUGCCUUUUCCAAUCGCAGGUUCACCCGGAAUCCAGUGAAGAGUGUGUUAACUCUACUUAUUUCCAGGAUGAGCGCUAAAGAUGGUCAGCCUCAUUGUAUUAGCGAGAUAGUUCAUACCCACCCACUACAUUUGUCUCUGGGUUAUCUGGGACACAUAACACUAGUUUAAUGCCCCCGUUCUUCAUUAAUUAAUUCAUAUUGUGUGUGUGUGUGUGUGUGUGUGUGUGUGUGUUACUUGGCUUUCAAUGGCUGUGAGAAAAUACCUAAGGAAAAUCAAUAUAAAGAAGGAAAGGUUUACUUUGACUCAAUGUUUCAGAGGGUUUAAUCCAUAGUUACUUGGGUGUAUUGCUUCUGGCCCCACAGGGAGCCAGAAAAGUCACUGUGGAAAGGUUAGGCAGAGGAAAGCUGCUCACCUCAUCACCUUGUGACAGCCAGGAGGGAGUGGUGGGUGGGGGGAGUCUUUCAAAGACUGCAGGAAGCACAGGAAAAAAAUAACAGAAUCUGAAUUUUCUUAGAGCAGUGGGCAGUUUUUUUAGAGCAAUGAAAAAAAGCAAACUGUAAUCAACUGAAGACUUACACCAUAAAAUGAGAUAAAGGCCUUAUGAUGAUCACCUUUGCUUGAGUUUGCUUUCCAAAAAUAUAUAUCAGUACCUUGGUUCUUGUGCACAGUUCCCACUGACCAUUUUGACAUUCAAACCUGAGUCAUAAUUACAGCCAGAUUUUUCCUAGUUGGAAGUCCCUUCUGCCUUUUCUAUGGAGCCCCAAAUAGAGGAAAAUGGCAGAAGAUUUGCUUCCCUUUGCUCCCUUCUCAGUAGAAGAAACUUCUCCAUGGAGCUUGUAAUGCUCACCCUUUGAUGUUUAUCUGUUUUGCUGCCUAUAUGGCAAAUAGCUUUAGGCACCCUUCCAGUGACCAUGUAAUGAGCUACUUCAUGUCAGGAACCACAGCAGAGUUUGGAGAUACUGAGAUGGUAGCUAUGGUCUCUGCCCCCAAGAGGUUCCCAGUGGAGUAGGGGAGAGAGACAGCUCUAGUCCUCACAGUCUGCCUUGACAUGAAAGUAAACUUUUAUACAGCUUACAGGGAUUUAAGUCCUUUAAUGACAUGAAUUCCUGCAGGCAGUGUGAGAGUACUCUGUGCCAUCCUAGGAUCAUUCAAACUUAAACAAAGCAACAUAGAUAUUUAAGAAUAAACAUCAUUACCUCUCAACGUGAAAUCAUUACAAUUCAUAUGUGGCUAUGUAUACCAAUAUUUAGAAUUUGUACAGAAAUGCAAAUGUAGAAUAAUUAUAUCUGUAUGAAAAAUAUAUAAAUACAGCAAACAUAUAUAUAUAUAUACACAUAUAUAAUGAAUAAUCUGAAAGAAUUAGAAUUGGUUAACAUCUACUUCCAUAAUAUUUUCUUCUAGGACAAUAUUAUAUCUGUAGGCAAAUGUUUCCAUGAAAAUUGAGGUAGAUAGAUACUUGGCUAAAGUUUAGCAGCUUUUAUACUGUUAUGCUUUGAUAAACCACCACCAAACUUCUAAACGAGCAGCCAUCUCACUCAUUAAUUGAAUAUUUUAGCACUUUUCCUCUGUAGAGCUGGUGUUUCAUUAUACUUUCUAUUUUGUGUCUUGCUUUUCAUGCAUUUAAAGUGCUGGAGCAGCUGUUUAUUUGGAAAGGUUCCAUUAUGACCAUAAUAAUCUCCAACUAAUUGCACAUCAAAUAUUUAUUUCUUGCACAUUAAAUUAAUGAAGCAGUUUCAACAAGAGAAAAAUUGGAUCAGGUUGGCAAACAGUGCCUAUAAAUUCAUGAAAGAUUCCAAGUUCUUUUUUGGCAAGGACUCCUUUAAUACGGAUUAACAGUUUGUAAAUGGAAAAAUCGUCCCAUUAUCUAGCUGUGACUUUUUAAAUAUACAUGCUUUAUUUUUUAAAGUGCAUUUCUGGAUUUGCCCUUGCUAUACAUAAUAUAGCUUUCAGAAAUAAAAAAUAAGAUAUACUACUAAUUUUUAAAUAAAUUGCUAGCUUCUUUUCUUGCAUUUAAUAGUAUCCUUUUCUCAAUUCUACCAUUGAUACUACAAUUUUUUUCAAGUAGGUCGACUAUAACAGGCAUAGGGCUGAUGGGGUAGUUCAGUGGUAGGUUAUGUGCUUAGCAUGCACACUUAACACUCAAUAUGAGAUCUCCACACUUAAAGUUUACACAAGAACAUUUUGUUAAAUCAAGAUAUGAUGCUAUUCAGCAGAUCUACAGAAUUUAUUUAUCUAGUAUAAUUGAAAUUGUACACCCAUUAAACCACACCCCACUCCAACCACGCCAUAGUGCCUGGCAGUCACCAUGUAGUCUAAGCUUAAGUUGCUUUGACUAUUUUAGACAUACCAUCGCAGUAGACUCUGCAGUAUUCAUCCUCCCAUGACUCUCUUUAUUUACUUCAGCUAACAUCUGCAAAGCAGACAGAGAGACUGAUAGAUGCUGAUUAUGGAAGGUUGCUCAACAUGACUAAUCAUCAUGGAAAUGCAAAUCAAAGGUACAAUGAGUUGUCCUUUCGCACCUGCUCAGAUGGCUAUUAUCAAACAGACAAAGAUAACAAAUGCCAAUUAGAAGCAGAAGUUGGCUAAGGACUUAUUAGUCUAAAAAUCUCUUUUAAAAAAUAAGUGAUACGCUCAACUUACAUUUUUUUUGAUAUACUCUUUUCAAGAUCUCUGAUACUAUUUUCUUUUAGGUUCAUUGCUGGUGUGUAUAAAACAACCAAGUGUUUUUGUGAAAGAAUUUCAGGGAAGAAUUUUUCUGAGCAACCGCUCUGUCAAGAAUAAAGAAAAUGUCUAUAGACUUCCUUUAUUAUUAUUCUUUUAUUAUAACACCAUUUUCCAAUAAGCAAAACUUGCAUGGCAGCCACUGGAUACAGUGAAAUGUUAUUUAUGAUUCCUGGUUUAGGUGUUACCAUUUCCAGCAACUGGUCAACCCCUGAGUUGGAGGAGAUAGUAACUGUCUCCUUUGCAUGGUCCUUUUGGGUUGGGGUUUUCGUUCCUUACAUGUGAGUGAAAUAUGGUUUGCAUGAAUUUACAGAAAGAGCCUUUUAAGCUACUUGAGAGAAACUUACUGUUUUCUUUUAAUACAAGUAGUCCACAUCAGUGACUUGUCUUCCAGGUAGGGCAGGAUGAGUUUUCAUCUCUCUCCUUACCUUCCACCCAUUACACUUUCCUGGGGAUGGCCUUUAACAGAAGAAGGAAACAGUAAUACAGUUUAUAAUAUAUGGUAUAUGCCUUGAAAAUUGCUCAAUAUAGCAGUAUUUGUUUCCUAUAGAAACAUAUACUGAAAAGAAAGUGAUAUGUUUAAAUUUCUCUAAAGUUAUAGAUUGUAAUUCUAACACUUCCUCCUCAACGCAUAACCAGGAACAAAGAUGGGAGAGAUGGGGAGGGACAACAUUAGCCUGCAAAAGUGUGCAUUGUUUCACUGGCCUGGAGCUAGUACUAACUUUCUCUUUUUCAAAUUUCCUCUUUCUCUUCCUGCUCCUCCUUCUUGCUUCUUUCUUCUCCCCUUCUUUUCUUUCCUCUUUAUCCUUUUUCAUAUGCCUUCUCUUCCUUUUGUGUUUCCUCCUCCUGUACCACCUUCCUCUUACAGUGAACAAUUACUCUCCAACUAUAGACAUCCCUGGCUGCUGUUGUUCACACUCAGCCUGGAUCAUACCGACGUGACUACGUGACAGCUGCCUGUCUCCUACAGGCAUCUGAGUUUCCAUCCCUGACUUAAAUGAUUCCAUGUGUCUUAUAAGACAGAGCCAAAAGCAAGAGGAUAAUACAGAAAUAAUGCUGGGGGAUAUGAGCUUAAAAAAGAUGUUACUGUAGGUGCAACAUGUGUCUGAAUCUAUUGAAAUAGCAUGGUGUAGUGGCAACGUGCUGAAGAAGGUGAGGGGACCAUGUCUUCCUUUACAAACAGCCCUCUUGAAUGUAAUGGAGACAUGACCCCAAAUGUAAGGGCUGAGCACCCAGCAGGAGUACAUGGUCCAAACUUUGAAAGAUCAUUAAAAAUUGGAGACAAAUAUAGAUGCUCUUUCAAAUAUUGCCUACCAAUGGAAACAUAACUCUGAAUAGCAGAUGAUAUGCAGAAUAUCAAAUCCUAAUCUCAGGGGUGGGAAAACAGAAGCACAUUUUUUGAGGCUCCUUGGAUGACUCUUAUGUGUAGGUUCACUGGAAAACUAUUGGUCUAGAUUUUUUCCUAAGUAAGAAGGCUAGGGUACCAUUGUUAAUUAGCCAUCCUACUAGAAAUAAGGCAUUAGUGUUACAGCCUUGAAUUUACUUCUUACAAAAUACCCAUGUCAUCAUGGGUACAUGUUAUCAUCUAUGUUUUUCCUAUAUGUAUUUUGGUCAUAAUACUUAUCUAAAUGACCAUGAGACUUACAUGAGCUCUACUAUAGAGGGAUAGCAUCCAGUAGGUACAUAAUAAGAUCGUGGUGACUACAGUAAUUAUUAUUAUUAUUUUUUACCAUUUAACCCUUUCCAAUCAUACUGUGGAGUUCAUUCUUCAGUUGCAAUCACAUUUCAAUAACAUGGAAAGCUGAAUAGAUUAAUCGAGUUCUCCAUCCAGAUCAGUUUUCUAGUCACUAUUUUAAUCUAUAUCUUGGUCAACUGAAAUAUAUGUUCAAGUCAUUUUUUUUCAGAAAACUUGCUUGAAUGGUACAUAGUGUGGACCACAGAAUGCCAGAGGUAUUUUUGUACCUGCUUCACACUGGAAGAAAAUCUCUCCGGUUGAAUCCUUUGGUUACCUGUCAACAUGCUUUAGAUGUUAUUUGAUCUUUUAUUGUUUAGUGUUACAAAGAAGCUGUAGACCAGCUCAGCCACACUUUUGUUUGCUAGGGUAGUUGUAGAUGUUACUUCACUUCCAUUUAAAUUAUGGUGACACAGCACAUCUGGGUUCGGUUCUAUUUUUAUGAACAUUUCCUGAAACCCAAGUUAAGCCAUUCAAUCAGCAAUUGUGUUGUUUUCUCACUUUAGAAAAAUUUCCUUUUGUUACAUUAUUAUUAUUGGCUAUUAUUUCUGCUCCAUUUGCUUUCAAAUCAUCUUCAAGAACACUAAUUAUAAGUUGAUUCUUCUCUUUGUCACUUUAUAAUUUUAAUCUCCUAUGAUUUUAAUCUAUUUGUCCUAUUUUUCUGCAUUCUGGGAAAGUGUCCAUAUUUUCACAUGCCAGAAAAUUGAUUAUUUUUUAGUGUCAGGCUCAUUUUUUAAUAAUUCCAAUCCAAAUUUAAGUUUUGUCAAUCCAAAUUUAAGCUUUACAUUUCAUUCUUUUCUUUCUAAAGUCAACUCUAAUUUCAUCUUACCCGGUUCUCUUCUUAGACUUCAAGCCUGCCAUUGUAUUUACAGAGCCAGAAGAAUAAAACCCACAUAAUCUAAUUUCAGUAUAAUCCCAGUUUCUUAAGAGGCUGAUGAUUGUGUACAAGAAGAUCAAAAACAUUUUCCAAAAUGACCCUCUCAGAACUUCUCUUACCUUUAAAAACCUUCUGGUUUUCAAAGUUAAGCAACAGAUAAAUCUGGAGAUUUCUGUCUUACAUGUACUUCUCUGGGAAGCAAUCCCUUGUUGUGAACCAUUUACACUUCUAUAGAUAACCCAUACAAAAUUAGAAAAAAGAACUGAAGAACUAUAUUUGUCCCUGCCUUGAAAUAGGGUCCUAUCUUGCACCACAUUAAGCCAUGCUGUGAGGUUGAGAGGGUGGAGGGUGAGUUGACAGGGAUCUCCUGGCCCUGUAGCUACUAACUCCACCCCACUGCCCUCCUCAGGGGAUUCUAUCUCCUUUCAUCCCCAUAAUCUGCCACUAUGCCAUCCUCCCCUGUUACAAAUUCAGUUUUGGGGAGCAAUGAAAAUGUUUCAUAGACUCAUCCACAUGAAGGCUUAUACUCAGCAUAUCGAUCAAGCAGCAAUUGUUGAAUGGACACUUUACAUAAGGAAAGUGCAAUUUCAGAGAAGCAUUAAGCUUUUACUUGCAAACAGUUUACACGUUCUGAAGUAGGGAAUGAUCCGGAAUAAGGCUUGCAUGAGGAAGAGCAAUAGUUGAUGUCGCCUCCUGGCUGAAGAAAUUUUUAACAUCCAUUGAUAGAUUGUUUUGGAGAUUGAAUCCAAGACCUCAUGUAUGAUAAACACAUGCUCUACACCACCGAGCUUCUCCCUCAGGCCCAAGAAGAUGGUUUUGCAGAGUGCUCCAAGGUGCAGUAGUAUGAUGGACUACAUGGAAUCUAAAGAGGACAAAAGUCAUAGGAGCAAGAGAGGGGAAUCAUGAGGGACAGAGACUGGAGGUAAGUGUUCUGGACCACAGAAUUAUUACUAGUUUGGGAAGAAAGAAAGCUUCUAAAUAUUUUGUGAUUGUGUCCCAUGCAACUGUCCUUGGGCUGCGUAUUUCCCAUAGACUGUUUUUGCUCAAUUGUCUUAACAUUUUAAUACAGCUAUGAGGUGAUAGCAAGUGUGCAGAUUCAGGUUUGGAAGCCAUGUAUAACUCUGGCCAUCUCACCUUUGUGCCUGAGAAGUUAACCUGUCAAAUCUAACAAAGUACUUAUCUGAACCUCCAUUUCUUCAUCUGUAGACAAGGAUAAGAUGAAUGUCAUGAGAUUGCAAAAGGGUGGGAAGAAUUCAUGCAGGGUAGCCAUUGAUCACCAUUUCCACAUUUGGACCGUGAGUGUGCGUUGAAUGAAGUCAUUUCUGUUGCAUACAUUAGCGAACUUCCGCUUAGGGAGGUUAGAUACAUCCAAGUUUGUAAUUCAAGUGCACUGAAGAGCCAGUAUGUUUUCUGAAUCCAGAGUUAGAUUACUAGACAUGCAAAGAAAAAAGUAUUGGCAGAGAAAACCGAAUAGCUAGGCAGUCAUCUGAAGCCUCCAGAAGUCAUUUCCCUAAAAUUCCUUUCAAUAUGUCUGAUCUCUCCUCUGCUGUCCUGUUCUUCCACACUUGGCUCACAAACUCCGGGAAGAGCCUGAACUUUGCUCUAGUCAUCAUAGAGGAAAUAGGAAAGUGGAGUCUAUCAACUAAGCAGAGUCCGCAUUCCACAGCCUUCACCCGACCUCACAAGGUGGUCUAAAUCUGGAAACCAUAAGGCUUUCUGAGAAGGACAAGCCAGGCCACCUGUCUCUCACCUCUCACAACAAAUGUGGUUCAAUGUUGUUUUCUUGAAGAAAAUUAGCAUGCCUACACUUGUCACACUGAAGGUGCCAUAUGGGGCUGCAGAUAUUAAUGAGGACAUCCUGACUCCUCCCGGUCACUCGAUGCGUGUGAAUAAAAUCACCUCGUGACAACAGUCUGCUCCUGAUUCUGAAGUGAAGCAAGCAGCCGACGGAAAUGUGGAACACCAAAGCACUGAGGUAUACAGACACAACUCAGCUGAGCGAGGAACCGCCAUUGUAUCUAAUGUGGAUAUGGUUUUAUCCUGUCUGCUUUUCCGUCUCUCCUCUAGAGAGCUCAUCAUUUGCUGGAAGAUUUUCUUUUCAAGGAAGGCUUUUGGGACGAAGGUGGUGAGACACAAAUAAAUGUUCAUGGAUAUUGGCAAUUCAUGAAAUUGAGGAUAUGGUGCUGUUAGGGUGGGGAGCUUUGGAUUAUUCUCAAAAGAAAAUAUAUCCUCUCUUAUUUUAAUAAAAUUGUGUCUCCAGGCUUCUCUGUGGAAGAAAAUGGAGAUCCAAGAGCUACUUCUGGAUGCUUUGCCAAUGUCGUUCUGAUUGAAGGCUGUCUUGUGGUGUGGGAUGUGAAUUAUCUUGUUUCUGUUUGUUGGUGAAAGAUUGGUGAUGGCCAUGCCAUGGUGGGAGAUACAAGGAGAUAUAAAAACACUUCAGAUCAUACCACACCUUUUUAAGACUGGACAUUUUUCUGAGCACUCCAUAAAUAUUCUCUGCUUGGCUUACAGCUAGAAGCAACACGCAAACUGCAAGGAAACAUAUUCAAUGAAUAUACCCAUACAUUUGUAAAAAUUAUGUGCUGUCAACAUGAUGAAAGGUAAGUAACUGAUUUUAAGCCCCAUAAACAGAACGUGGAACUGUCUCUCUUCGUCUGCUCAAUGGUUGAAAUUAAAACAGUGCAGUUGUUUUAAUUCGGAACUGUAUGUGCAACGUGGCGUUUUCUAUCAAAAGGUAGACUACUAUGCUUCUAAGCAUUUUGCCUCAACCGUAGACCCCUUAGUUAAACGUUGAACAUAAGGUUAUGGUGCUAAAUCCAAGAGCAACUGGACAAGGAAAAAAUAAAAGAACAAGAUGCAUCUGAGCAAGAGGCGCUGCGCAAAAUAGGAAGUAACCCGAGCAGCCGCCCCUUUAUCAUCACGCUCUCUGCAGACAGACACUGCGUGGGUUGCCGCCGGGAAACGGAUAACCGCACCUGUCACUGCAAGGGGAGGUCAUAUAAAGAAAUUGCUCACAGACAUAGCAGAAUGGAAUACAAAACACAAUAUCUCUGUCAACCAAAGCCCUUGAAAAUCCAGUGUAAAAAGAAGGGCUUUAUAUGUCUUUCUGAGUGUCCUGCCGGCAUUAUCUGGGACAGCCGGAAGCUGGACCCGACUUGUCUAAAAAGAAAAGAGCUGACAAAAAACAACACAAAAAAAGGGUUGGCAGAUUUCCAGUUAAGGAGGAUUUUAUCACUCUAGGAAACCACCCUUUAAUUCUGAUGAUGUAGGCAAUUCCUUUUCAAGAGGAAGAGAGCUUUGCGUAUUUAAAUUUGCUGCACAACUGCUUUGGGUGACUGGGAGCCAUUGUAGACCAAGGUAAAAUAACGCGACAAACAUUAUACAACAUUGAUGGAAAAGGGGGAGUGCCGCAAGGAUUGCAUGUGGACCCGUGUCUGAGCAAGGGUGACUGUCUGUGAGAAAGAGGAUUGGACCCUGCUUCAGAAAGCUGGGAUCUUGUCUUCUCAGGUCUGCUGUAGACUGGAUAUGUGACCUUGAGCAGCUGGCUGAGGCUGAGUUUUCUUGUAUUUCAAAACCAAAGGUCAGGUGAACGGAGAGACAGAUGAUAGAGGUGAAGACCCUAAGACAGAGAUCAGUCUUGGAAAAACCAGGAUCCCCUCUUCAGUUUUCUACUUACUAAGGUAUAGGAGAGAAUGCUAGAGAUUUUAGUAGUAGUGACUUUUUAGAACAAUGUUAAAUCACAUUUAACUAAUAACUAAGAUGGAUAUGAAACAUCAAAAUGUAUCAAGAAAUGUUUGGGAAUGAUAGUUGUUGAAGUUAUGUGGAAUAGAUGAGUAGCAGAGAUUAGUCUUGGGCCCAGGAAUCUUCAAAGUACGGUCCGUGAGAUAUAUCUUGUCUGUCAUCUGUUUUUCAAUAAAGUAUUAUUGGAACACCG